rnacentral:sRNA from 1 species
UUGACAGCCCUAGAGGCUGCAAUCCUCUCUAUAGCCAUAGACCAGAUACAGCAGAAUCAACAGCCGUGCAAGCUUUCCCACCAUGUCCUUCAAAUCAAGCAACUAGAGCAGGGGUAGGCAACCUAUGGCACGUGUGCCGAAGGCAGCA